UGGGGAAUAUUGGGCAAUGGGGGAAACCCUGACCCAGCGACGCCGCGUGGGUGAUGAAGGCCUUCGGGUCGUAAAGCCCUGUCGGGAGGAACGAAUGAUCUUGCAGCAAAUAACUGCGAGAUGUGACGGUACCUCCGAAGGAAGCACCGGCCAACUCCGUGCCAGCAGCCGCGGUAAGACGGAGGGUGCAAGCGUUGCUCGGAAUCACUGGGCGUAAAGGGUGCGUAGGCGGUCUCUCAAGUCUGACGUGAAAGCCCAGGGCUCAGCCCUGGAAGUGCGCUAGAAACUGAGAGGCUCGAGUGCCGGAUGGGAGAGUGGAAUUCCCGGUGUAGCGGUGAAAUGCGUAGAUAUCGGGAGGAAUACCGGUGGCGAAAGCGACUCUCUGGACGGCAACUGACGCUGAGGCACGAAAGCGUGGGGAGCAAACAGGAUUAGAUACCCCCGUAGUCC
rnacentral:rRNA from 1 species